UGCUCCCUGGGAUAUUCGCCAGCUGGUAAUGUCCCUGUGCCGAUAAUUUUUAAACCAGGGUGAAUGUUUUUACUGACAUUGCGCAUGCUCAGCUUGUACUGAGAAGCCUUAGGAGGUAAUCAUUUACCCGCCUUGAACCUACGGUUCAAGGGCUACACCGGCAGCGGUAUUUUGGGGAGCAU
rfam:Shewanella denitrificans OS217, complete genome.